rnacentral:rRNA from 1 species
UACGGGGGGGGCAAGCGUUGUUCGGAAUUACUGGGCGUAAAGGGCUCGUAGGCGGCCAACUAAGUCAUACGUGAAAUCCCUCGGCUUAACCGGGGAACUGCGUCUGAUACUGGAUGGCUUGAGGUUGGGAGAGGGAUGCGGAAUCCCAGGUGUAGCGGUGAAAUGCGUAGAUAUCUGGAGGAACACCGGUGGCGAAGGCGGCAUCCUGGACCAAUUCUGACACUGAGGAGCGAAAGCCAGGGGAGCAAACGGG